rnacentral:rRNA from 1 species
GAUGAACGCUAGCGAUAGGCUUAACACAUGCAAGUCGAGGGGCAGCACAAGGUAGCUUGCUAUCUGGGUGGCGACCGGCGCACGGGUGCGUAACGCGUAUGCAACUUGCCCUAUACAGGAGGAUAACCCGUCGAAAGACGGACUAAUACUGCGUAUGCUCACAACUUGGCAUCAAGUGGUGAGGAAAGAAAUUCGGUAUAGGAUAGGCAUGCGUCCCAUUAGCUUGUUGGUGAGGUAACGGCUCACCAAGGCAACGAUGGGUAGGGGAACUGAGAGGUUUAUCCCCCACACUGGGACUGAGACACGGACCAGACUCCUACGGGAGGCAGCAGUGAGGAAUAUUGGUCAAUGGGCGCGAGCCUGAACCAGCCAAGUCGCGUGAAGGAUGACUGUCUUAUGGAUUGUAAACUUCUUUUAUACGGGAAUAACAAGAGUCACGUGUGACUCCCUGCAUGUACCGUAUGAAUAAGCAUCGGCUAACUCCGUG